GCUGGCGGCAUGGAUUAGGCAUGCAAGUCGAACGAGAAGCUCUAGCUUGCUAGAGUGGAUAGUGGCGAAAGGGUGAGUAACGCGUGAACAAUUUGCCCCUAAGAUGGGAAUAGCCUCGGGAAACUGGGAUUAAUACCGAAUGUGAUCUUCUGUCGCAUGACAGAAUGAUUAAAGAUUUAUUACUUAGGGAUGAGUUCGCGUUCCAUUAGCUUGUUGGUGGGGUAACGGCCUACCAAGGCGACGAUGGAUAGCUGGUCUGAGAGGAUGAUCAGCCACACUGGGACUGAGACACUGCCCAGACUCCUACGGGAGGCUGCAGUCGAGAAUCUUCCGCAAUGGGCGAAAGCCUGACGGAGCAAUGCCGCGUGCAGGAUGAAGGCCCUUGGGUCGUAAACUGCUGUCACCUGGGAAGAACAUAAUGACGGUACCAGGAGAGGAAGCACCGGCUAACUACGUGCCAGCAGCCGCGGUAAUACGGAGGGUGCAAGCGUUGUUCGGAUUUAUUGGGCGUAAAGGGUCCGCAGGGGGUCCGCCAAGUCUGAUGUGAAAUCCCGAGGCUCAACCGUGGAACUGCAUUGGAAACUGAAAGACUAGAGUAUUGGAGAGGUAAGUGGAAUUCCUGGUGGAGCGGUGGAAUGCGUAGAUAUCAGGAAGAACACCGAGAGCGAAGGCAGCUUACUGGACAAUUACUGACCCUCAGGGACGAAAGCAUGGGUAGCAAACAGGAUUAGAUACCCUGGUAGUCCAUGCCGUAAACGUUGUAUACUAGAUGUGGGAGGAUUUAUCCCCUUCCGUGAUGCACUUAACAGAUUAAGUGUUCCGCCUGGGGAGUACGGUCGCAAGAUUAAAACUCAAAGGAAUAGACGGGGACCCGCACAAGUGGUGGAGCAUGUGGUUUAAUUCGAAUAUACGCGAAGAACCUUACCUAGCCUUGACAUUGAUUGAACGGACCAGAGAUGGACCGGUGCCCUUCGGGGAGCAUGAAAACAGGUGCUGCACGGCUGUCGUCAGCUCGUGUCGUGAGAUGUUGGGUUAAGUCCCGCAACGAGCGCAACCCUCGUCCUUAGUUGCCAGCAGGUUAAGCUGGGCACUCUAAGGAGACUGCCUUCGCAAGGAGGAGGAAGGUGAGGACGACGUCAAGUCAUCAUGGCCCUUACGGCUAGGGCUACACACGUGCGACAAUGGGGCGUACAGAGUGUUGCGAUACCGCGAGGUGGAGCUAAUCACUUAAAGCGUCUCUCAGUUCGGAUUGGAGUCUGCAACUAGACUCCAUGAAGCUGGAAUCACUAGUAAUCGUAGAUCAGCAAUGCUACGGUGAAUACGUUCCCGGGUCUUGUACUCACCGCCGUCACACCAUGGGAGUUGAUUUCACCCGAAAUUGGGAAGCUAACCUUCGGGAGGCUACCACUUACGGUGGAAUUAGCGACUGG
rnacentral:rRNA from 1 species